GAUGAACGCUGGCGGCGUGCCUAAUACAUGCAAGUCGAGCGAACGGACGAGAAGCUUGCUUUUCUGAUGUUAGCGGCGGACGGGUGAGUAACACGUGGAUAACCUACCUAUAAGACUGGGAUAACUUCGGGAAACCGGAGCUAAUACCGGAUAAUAUUUUGAACCGCAUGGUUCAAAAGUGAAAGACGGUCUUGCUGUCACUUAUAGAUGGAUCCGCGCUGCAUUAGCUAGUUGGUAAGGUAACGGCUUACCAAGGCAACGAUGCAUAGCCGACCUGAGAGGGGGGGCGGCCACACGGGAACUGUAGCACGUUAGGGACGACGGCGGGAGGCAGCAGUAGGGGAUCGUACGAAAAGGUCGAAAGCAUGAAGGAGUAGCGCAGGGAGAGUGAUGAAGGUCAUAGGAACGUGAAAAUGUCUUAUUAGGGAAAAACAAAGGAGUAAGUGACUGUGCAGAGCGAGACGGUACGGAAUCAGAAAGCCAAGCAGAAGCAGGUG
rnacentral:rRNA from 1 species